rnacentral:miRNA from 14 species
UCGUCUUCCUCUUCCUCUUCCUCUUCCUCCUCCUCGUCCUCCUCAUCUUCUUCUGAAGCAUUCUUUAAUGUGGCAAGUAGCUUGCGGUACCCAGAAAAUUGUUCUGGUUCACUCUCUGCUUCACUUUCAGAACUUGAAGUAUCUGAACUCUCUGACUAAAAGGAAAAUGGGAAAUUUUAUUUCUUUUUAAAGAUUUUAUUUAUUUAUUUGAGAGAGAGAGAAAGAGAGAGCAUGAGUGGGGGGAGUAGUAGAAGCAGAUU